rnacentral:lncRNA from 1 species
GCCCUCGCCCCCACCACUGCCACCGUCGUUCUUUUCUGCCCUCUCCCUCUCUGUCUGUCUCUCUCUGUCUCUUUUCUUUUUCUCUCUGCCUGUUAGCUGCUCUCUCUUAAUCUCUGCCUCUUUGCUUUUUUUCUCUAUGUGCAAGCUAAGACAUACUACACACUAUAGUUUGAAGAAGCAGACAAGGAACUCUUAACCAUUCUAUCUUCUCCAGUUCUUUGCCCAUUGCCUGGACUCAGUGUUCAUGCAAGAUAAAGUCGGCUACACACUUCCCUUCCCAAGCAUUACUUGCCAGGCUCAGUCAGAAAAGGCUGUGCAACUUCCACCUGGUCCUCUUGAACUGCUCACUCUCUGGGGAGGCCAGUUGCCGUGGGAGAAGUCUGUACUCUGAGGCUGCCAUACUGGAGGAGGCGUGUGCAGGUGCUCGGUGAGGAGCUCCUGAGGACUGCCGGCCCUGUGAGUCCAGCCCGUAGAAGAGGCCAUCUCCAGUCAACAUCUAACUGGCACUGCAUGAGAGACCCCAACAGACAACUGCCCAGCUGAGCCCUUCCUGAAUUUCUGGCCCAGAAAGUUAUGAACCACAUACGACAUUUGUUGUUUUAUACUACUAAGCUUCACCAUAGUUUGUUACACAGUACUAGUAAUCAGAACAAUUACUAUAGAGCAAAAUAGAAUUUAUGGCAAAAAAAAUUUCAACACUGUAAAAUAAGAUAUUUCAUAAUAAACUGAGAAAGAGAAACAUGUUUUAGGUACAUAUUUAUGCAUCAAAAACAUAAGUCUUGAAUAUGCAAAUAAGGAAUGGAG